AGUUCGAUCAUGGCUCAGAUUGAACGCUGGCGGGAUGCUUUACACAUGCAAGUCGAACGGCAGCACGGACUUCGGUCUGGUGGCGAGUGGCGAACGGGUGAGCAGCGUAUCGGAACGUGCCUAGUAGCGGGGGAUAACUACGCGAAAGCAAGAAGCAUACUGCAUAAUACCCUUCGGGGGAAAGCGGGGACCUUCGGGCCUCGCACCGGUUAGAGCGGCCGAUAUCGGAUUAGCUAGUUGGUGGGGUAACGGCUCACCAAGGCGACGAUCCGUAGCUGGUUUGAGAGGACGACCAGCCACACUGGGACUGGAGACACGGCCCAGACUCCUACGGGAGGCAGCAGUGGGGAAUUUUGGACAAUGGGGGAAAACCCUGAUCCAGCCAUCCCGCGUAAAGACGAAGGCCUUCGGGUUGUAAAGCACUUUUGGCAGGAAAGAAACGGUACGGAUAAUACCCCGUGCAACUGACUUGGCACUGCAGAAUAAGCACCGGCUAACUACGCCAGCGUCAUGGCAAAUACGUAGGUGCAAGCGUUAAUCGGAAUUACUGGGCGUAAAAGCGUGCGCAGGCGGUUCGGAAAGAAAGAUGAAAUCCCCAGAGCUAACUUGAACCGCAUUUUUAACUACUGAGCGAGCAGUCAGAGGGAGGAAUCAUGCGUAGCAGUGAAAUGCGUAGAUAUGCGGAGGAACACCGAUGGCGAAGGCAGCCUCUGGGAUAACACUGACGCUCAUGCACGAAAGCGUGGGGAGCAAAACAGGAUUAGAUACCCUGGUAGUCCACGCCCUAAACGAUGUCAACUAGCUGCUGGGGCCUUCGGGCCUUGGUAGCGCAGCUAACGCGUGAAGUUGACCGCCUCUGGGGAGUACGGUCGCAAAGAUUAAACCGAAGAAUGACGGGGACUCCGCACAAGCGGUGGAUGAUGUGGAUUAAUUCGAUGCAACGCGAAAACCUUACCUACCCUUGACAUGUCUGGAAUCCUGAAGAGAUUUGGGAGUGCCUGCAAGAGAACCGGAACACAGGUGCUGCAUGGCUGUCGUCAGCUCGUGUCGUGAGAUGUUGGGUUAAGUCCCGCAACGAGCGCAACCCUUGUCAUUAUUGCUACGAAAGGGCACUCUAUCGAGACUGCCGGUGACAAAACCGAGGAAGGUGGGAUGACGCCAAGUCCUCAUGGCCCUUAUGGGUAGGGCUUCACACGUCAUACAAUGGUCGGGACAGAGGGUCGCCAACCCGCGAGGGGGAGCCAAUCCCAGAAACCCGAUCGUAGUCCGGAUCGCAGUCUGCAACUCGACUGCGUGAAGUCGGGAAUCGCUAGUAAUCGCGGAUCAGCAUGUCGCGGGUGAAUACGUUCCCGGGUCUUGCAUACACCGCCCGUCGACCAUGUGGGAGGCUUACCAUAGUUAGCUAACCGUAAGGAGGGCGAUUACCACGGUAGGAUUCAUGACUGGGGUGAAGUCGUAACAAGGCAG
rnacentral:rRNA from 1 species